rnacentral:lncRNA from 1 species
CGCUGCCGUAGUAAGAGCUGGCAUUGCCCCUUAUUGUAGUAGUGAAGCCAAGAAGAACCCUUGCUGUCAAAUACUAGUUGGGAUUUGGAAACAAUGCUUGUCAUCAAACAUUGACUAGAAAAGAGACUGGUUAUCAGUCACCUGUCGAGAAGGAUGCUGAUCACUGACUGUCGGUCGUUGGUCGGGAUUCCUUAUGGUGGUGUAGGGAGGAGGAAAACAAAACACUAGCCAUCAGGAUGGGGAAAAAAAGACUCA